rnacentral:tRNA from 1 species
CAGGGAAUAGUUUAAAUAGAACUUCAGCUUUGGGGGUUGAUGGUGAGA